rnacentral:misc_RNA from 1 species
GAUGAAGAACGCAGCGAAAUGCGAUACGUAAUGUGAAUUGCAGAAUUCAGUGAAUCAUCGAAUCUUUGAACGCAUAUUGCGCUCUCUGGUAUUCCGGAGAGCAUGCUUGUUUGAGUAUCAGUAAACACCUCAACUCCCUUUUCUUUUUUGAAAUUGGAGCUGGACUUGAGUGAUCCCAACGCUUUCUUCCAAGAAAGUGGCGGGUUGCUUGAAAUGCAGGUGCAGCUGAACUUUUCUCUGAGCUAUAAGCAUAUCUAUUUAGUCUGCCUAAAAAACAGAUUAUUACCUUUGCUGCAGCUAACAUAAAAGAGACUAGUUCUUGUGCUGACUGAUGCAGGAUUCACAGAGACAGCUUCGGCUGACUUUGUAAACUCGAUCUCAAAUCAAGUAAGACUACCCGCUGAACUUAAGCAUAUCAAUAAGCGGAGGA